CCCUUGACCAACGACCUUGAGCCGUGCAAUUUGCGUAUUCAAACGAGAGCAGAGGAACGGCUGGAGCGCCUCAUUGGCAAGCCUUUGGCCUCGGCUGUAAAUCAUGGAUGCUAAGGAAUAGCUAUUAGCACCAAAUAAGGUCCCGAAUUCAACACCUUUCACCAUUCACGAGUUUAUCCACGGCAAAUCAAGAGCCAAACUGACAAAUAUGAAAGAUCAAGAGGAGCAAUGGCGUCUCUCGCAGAGCAUCUCGUGUGAACGCGACAGCCUGGUAGAUGAAAGAAAUCAAUGUCCCAAGUUGACCGUCUCCGCCUAGCGGAAAAUCAUAUAUCCUCGAGAGCGGAAAAUUAGUUAUCGGAAUUGGCACGACCGUCGGAACAUUCGGUGGACAUCCUGGGGCCGUCCGCCAUACUGGAAAACUUGAACGCGCGCAGAUCGAAAUACCGAGUAUAUUAACGGAGUUUAGUAAGAGACGAAUAGACAUGAAUUUGGCUGCGAUCCAGACAUCACACGUUGACGCAAAAUUCGCUGAGGUAAUUGCGCGACUGAUGUCGCACCGAAGCGCAACGUAAAGUGCAGUAGGUUGAUUCGAUGAAAUAAAUUGCAAAGCGCAUACACUUCGCACACGCAUUCCACCUGUGCAAUUCGAGAC